UGUAGAAAUCGUGCGAAAAUGGGUGAAACUCGUGGGGGGGCAAUCUCGCUCGGGCGAACUAGCUGUUUUGCUCGUUGCAGCGCAUGCGCUGUGCUGUCUUUGAAUGUGUGCGUGCGUCAAAAGCGAGCAAAACGCCGCUAUGUCAAAAAAUGUGUAAACAAACUCUGUUGGAGUUCAGAAAAGUAAACAUGCGCAAUCCGCUUGGUUAUGUGCAAAAAUUCGUGAAAUAAUCUAAAUAUUCUUUAUUUUGAACAGAUCUUACUUAUUACCGAUAUGUGCAGUGCCGUGUAAUAACAAAAAUUGCUUCAAAAAAGCUGUGUGUGUGGCUGAUACUCCAGCAUCUUCCCAUGUGUGUAAACAACGCCAAGAGUAUUACUGUUUUGUGAUCAUCAUAUUUCAUUCGGAUUGCACAUUACCGGGCAGAAAAAGCUUCAAGCAACCAAUUUUGUACAGCAUCCGCACGCUGUAUGAAGGUGUAAAACAAAUUUUCAUCUGUAAGAUGCUCUUCAAACCUGUCCAGUGACUCUUCGUUGCUUAUAUAUUGCAUCGGGAUGGUUUGAGCAUUACGUCGCACGCCUUUCAUCGGGUGUAUUGUGGCCACUAUCGCAGCCGUUUGGGCAGUUCGGGCAUCCAGUUUUAAUAAUGAACAUUGUGAACAAAACUCGUGCCCAGGACAAGUUGUUUUUGCUUGAAUUAACUCUGUGUUCUUAUUUACAUGAAUAGAUACGGUGGACGGAUGAAUGCUGCUUGCUUCGUGAAAUGUUGAUCCCGGUGAUGAAACACACGGUUCCGGUGUCAUGCUUGGUGACGGCUGACGGGAUCCUUGAUGCACGACAGUCGUUUUUGCCGGUCGCGCAACGUCAUGCGCGCAUGAACCAGCAGCUUAAGCAACAGACGAUUUCGGCGUCGCACUUGUAGUCGGCUGCGAUCCUUGCAUUUGUUCGUCAAACGAUCCUAACGAUCACGGAAUGCCAUCCACGGAUCCAGCAGCGGGAAUGACCGAUGGUACCGGUGUCGCACUUGUGGUCAGCUGCGAUCCAUGCGAACGCUUUAACGACAUUGUCGCUAGUGGAACAACACGCACGGAACAAGCAGGCACAAGAAUCAUCCCACGUAUCGCUUUCGUUGAGGGCUGCGUUCCUCGCUUUUGUUCCAUCGAUCUUGCCGGACGCGUAGCGAUAUCCACGGAACCAGCAGUGAGAGCAGUAGAAGAUUCCGACGUCGCAGAUGAUCCUGCCGGUCGCGUAGCGAUAUCCAUGGAACCAGCACCGGGGGCAAGAGACGGUUCCGGCGUCGGUCUUGAUGACGUUCGCGGUCCAAAAACACGGACGAUCGCGCCUGUGGAGCAUAAUACAGCCCAAGGCAGUUGUUGCAGUGCAAAAAGGCGCCCUUUCUUUGGUGGUUCCAACAUUAUAUUUCGGCUGAAAUAAUCAAUCGUUUUAUUAUUUUUUAUGUGCUGCUUUGCGGUUUGAAAUCUCGAUGUUUAUGUUUUCAGCUGUGAAUUUCAAUAAAGGGUAACAAUCACA